rnacentral:lncRNA from 1 species
AUCAAAUCAUUUCAAGAGAAACUUCUUUGUUUUUUUUUUUUUUUUUUUUAAGACAAACAAAGUAAAUUUCAUUUAAAGAGAUGGGUAAUACAAGAUAAGGACUACUCCAAAAAAGAGUCCAAAAUAGCCAAGCAAAAGCCCAACUCCAUAAACGAAAACAACAAUGAGAAUGGCCCAAAGUGAGCAACCCAUAACAGCAACCAAAUCGAAAAACCUAGACAGCCACCUCCACCAAAACAGCUGCACAGCCACCGCAUAUCCGUCACCACCACCCGGAAGAAGGGACAAAGAACCAAAUGGAUGAACGGAAAAUGGGGGUAGGCAAGCUACCCGCGCUGGGAGCGCUCCCAUAAUCCUACCAAAUAGUGCAAAAUGCGCUUUAAAAGGGUAGCAGGUAAAAGUUCACGAUGAGGAGCGAUGUUUGGAGAGGAACAAGGCAAAGAAAACAUAUAUGAGAUAAACACAAGAAAGACUGAGACCAAGUUCAUAGCAACCUGAGACACAAAAUGCUCAGACAAAAAACAAACGGAAGCUAAAAGCAAAUACAAAUAAACGAAAUCUCCAACCAUGGUGGCUUAGAGAGGGAAAAGCUGAGGUGGAGAUGGAGGAAUAGAGAAAGAUGGGGACGGCGGGAGGAACAUGAGAGAUGGGAAAAACUGGAGGAAAGAGAUGGAGAGAAGGGGAGAAAGUAAGGAAACAAGGGUGGAAAAAAGAGAAAGAGGAAGAAGGGCGAAAAUCAGGGAGAGAUGGGGGAUAGGGAUGAAAAAGGGGUGGACGGGAGAGGAAGAGAGAGAAGGGCGAGGAGGGAAGGGUUAGGCUGCCGCUGACCUUAAGCCGGAGUAAGAGGCCAACAACAGAGAAGGGUUCAGAGGAUCGGGGCUUUACUUUGGGGGAGGGAGAUGGCACAAAGUCAUAGGCAAGCUCUUAUAUAUAUAUAUAUAUAUAUAUAUAUAUAUAUAUAUAUAUAUAUAUUUGUGAAAAACUUCUUUAUUGAAGCUUAAAUUUCACUAAUUGUAUGAAAGAAAAACUAAUGAAAAAGGUUUGAAAACUUUGAGUUUUAACGAUAAGAACAAAAUAAAGGGUAAAGUGAAUAGUACCAGUAUAGACUUUUUAGUGUAAAAAUGUGAUUUUUCGUUAAAGUUAACAGUACCGGAAGUUUUUCGUUCAAUAAAAUCACACUUCUAAUGGAUUUUAACUGUUUUAAAAAAAAACUUACAAGGCUAAAAUUGUCAAAAUAUAAAUAUGCAUAUCCACCAUAUAAUUUCAAUCUUUCUAUUUUAUUCCUCGUGUUGUGAUAAAUCCAUGACAAAAUGAAUCUUUCUACGUUAUCAUCCUGAUGAAUUCCUUCGUAUAAUUAUUAAUACCACGAAUAAAUUAAUGAAGGAAAAUUUUAUUUGAAUCCAUAUAAUCUUUUUCUACACCAAACUUACUCUCUACACUCAUAUUAUUUUUAAUCAAACUAUCAAUAUCUCUUUACACCCCAAUUUACUACCUAAAAUAACCUCACAAACCCAAUUAAAUUUAUCUUUACACCCAUUUAAAAAAUAAAAACCCAAAAUCAGUAUUCAUGAAUGUUUUUACAAUUUAUGACCUUGAAAUAUGAAAUGAAUGGUUUACUAGAAAUAUAUUGCAAUAAACUGUGUUUUUGAGGAUUGAAAGUAUACUGCAAUAAAACUUAUUGGAAGUAUAUGGAAAUUAAUGAAAUUGUGUUUUUGAGGAUUGGAAGUACACUGUAGAUUGAGUAGCAAGACGGUCACUAGUUCAUCCUCAUCCAGGCACAUGCAAAAAUUUAAGUAUUGGCAAGUAAAUAAAUUCCCUCCUACCUUGUCAUAGCAUUGAAACUCUCGAGAUCACCACGUUAGCUUCUGGGUAGGCAAGAAGGUUGUCUUAAUUCACCCGCAUGACCCAUCCCAACUUCAUUAAUUUCAAGCUCACGAGAUCGCCAGUAUACUUUCCGUCCUAAAAAACACAAUUUCAUUAAUUCCUGUACAUUUUUUGUCUUAUCUCAAGUCUUAGGGUUUGAUCUUAAGAUUGCGUAAUGGUAAGUUAUUGGGUGUGAGUUUAUUGAUAAAUUUUAGUUAUAUUGUUAAUUUCAUCUUGUACUUAAUGGUAAUUAUGCAAUAGAGUAAAAGGGACAAUUCAUAUUUAAAUUUUAAAUUAGGUGUAGAAAUAAGUUAUAUGAGUUCGAAUAAAAUUUCUCGUUAAUGAAUUGUCGGUAAAGCAAACAUAAAAUAUAAUUAGGCUAAAUUGGAUUGUUCAUCCCCGUGGUCAUAGGACACUUGCAUGAUGACCCUGUGGUGAAAAAACUAGGAAUUAAACCCUGUGGUCUAGAAUGUUAGCAAAUUUAGUCCAAAAGUAAGAUUUCUGUUAAAUGACUGUUAAAAGUUGGGUAAAACUGUAUUUGUAGUUCCAAUUGACAUUGAAUUGGGGUUUUUUUUUAUUUAAAAAAUUAAGCAUUAUUUUUUUUUUGUUAAUUGUUAUAAAAAAAAUUAUUUUAAAUGUCAAUUGAAACUGAAAAUACAAUUUUACCCAUACUUUUAACAGUCAUUUAACAUAAAUCUUACUUUUGGACUAAAUUUGCUAACAUUCUUGACCACAGAAGUUUAAUUCCUAGUUUUUUCACUACGUGGAUCAUCAUGCAAGUUUCCUAUGACCACAGAGAUGAAUAAUCCAAUUUGGCCAAUAUAAUUAUGCAUGUGUGAACAUGAAGAAAUAUUUUAGUUGGCUCCGUACGCCGAGCAAACACCAAAUAUCAUUAUAUGAUUAAAAAUGAAAAUUGUCAAAAUAUCGCUCAUAUGUAGUGUUCUACAGGCACAUCGAUCGUGGAUCACAAUCUUUUUUCACAUCUAAAAGUCAUGAUGUUAUGCUCCACUUAUUGUAUCACCUGAUUUAACAACUUUAAAAAGAGACAGCAACAUCAUAAUUUUUAAGAAAAAUUAAUGAAAAUAAUUUAAAAAUUUUGAGUUUUAAUGAUAAGAACAAAAUAAAGUGUAAAAUAAAUAGUACCAUAAUUGACUUUUUAUUGUAAAAAUGUGUUUUUUCGUUAAAGUGAAGAGUACCGGGAGUUUUUGUUAAAGUUUCCUAAUUAUUUAGGAAGAAGACUGUAUCUGCACGCGCUUUACAGCCUAACACAGAUUCUCUCUCUCCCUCGAAGCUUCUUCCUUUUCCUUCCUUCCCUUCCCAUAACUCACAACUGAACUACUCAGCUGUGUUCUCGUGUCCUGCUCCAUCCUUCGAGGUAAAAACUUUUAUUAUUAGCCGCCAGAUUUCACUCCUCGUUUUUCUUGAUUUCUCUGAUUCGCUUGUCUGAUUGAUCAAAUUGGUGUCAAAUUUCAUUUUCUUGCAUUUCUCUGGCAUACAGGCCGACCCAAUAUGAAAAUUAAUCAUCUUUUUUUGUUUUUGCUUUUUUCUGUGUUGAUUUGGAUCGUUGGGUGUAUUGCUUGGAUUUUAUGAAAAUUAGAUCAAAACCAGCUCGUGUGAUUAAUAAUUUAAUCAAUAAUUAAUAGAGUUAAGCUUUCUGAUUAAUCUUGUUAGUUGUUGUCCAGGUGUCUCGCGGUUAUUUGUUGUCCUAACCUCUCGUGGCACCCCGCCCUUUUUUUAUUAUUUUUUAUUUGUGAACGCCCUUGACACUUUGUUUUUUUGGAAUUUUAACGAAAAAUCACAUUUUUACACUAAAAAGUCAAACCUGCUAAUAUUUACUUUAUCCUUUAUUUUGUCCCUAUCGUUAAAACUCAAAAUUUUCAAACCAUUUUCAUUAGUUUUUUUUUUUUCUCGCUCUCAUGAAUCAAAUCAUUUCAUGAGAAACUUCUUUGUAUUUUUUUUUUUAGACAAACAAAGUAAAUUUCAUUUAAAGAGAAAGAUAAUACAAUAUAAGAACUACUCCAAAAGAGUCUAAAAUAGACGAGCAAAAGCCAAACUCCAUAAACGAAAACAACAAUGAGAAGGGCCCAAAAUGAGCAGCCCAUAGCAGCAACCAAACCGAAAAACCUAGACAGCCACCUCUACCAAAACAGCUGCACCGCCACUGCAAAUCCGUCACCACCACCCAGAAGAAAGGACAAAGAACCAAAUGGAUGAACGGAAAAUGGGGAUAGGCAAGCUACCCACGCUGGGAGCACUCCCAUAAUCCUACCAAAUAGUGCAAAAUGCACUUUAAAAGGGUAGCAGGUAAAAGUUCACGAUGAAGAGCAAUGUUUGGAGAGGAACAAGGCAAAGAAAACAUAUAUGAGAUAAACUCGGGAAAGACUGAGACCAAGCUCAGAGCAACCUGAGACACAAAAUGCUCAGACAAAAAACAAACGGAAGUUAAAAGCAAAUACAGAUAAACUAAAUCUCCAACCAUGGUGGCUUGGAGAGGGAAAAGCUGAGGUGGAGAUGGAGGAAAAGAGAGAGAUGGG